CCCUUAGAUGUUCUGGGCCGCACGCGCGCUACACUGACGAAUGCAACGAGCUUAUAACCUUGGCCGAAAGGUCUGGGUAAUCUCCAAAUUUCGUCGUGAUGGGGAUAGAUUAUUGCAAUUAUUAAUCUUCAACGAGGAAUGCCUAGUAAGCGCAAGUCAUCAGCUUGCGUUGAUUACGUCCCUGCCCUUUGUACACACCGCCCGUCGCUCCUACCGAUUGAAUGGUCCGGUGAGGCGCUCGGACCGCGGCCUCUUGACGGUUUUCCGUCGAUUGGCUGUGGGAAGUUCGUUAAACCUUAUCAUUUAGAGGAAGGAGAAGUCGUAACA
rnacentral:rRNA from 1 species